CAUGAAGUCAGUCUUAAAUAUGCUCGUUUCAGUUUCUAUUUACCAGAAGAUUCAAAGGAACAUUAUAUUGUCGAGCAUCAAUAGCAAACAAAACGGUUGAGAAAACAAAAUGAAGAGUUUUUCCAAAAUCCCUAGAGUUUGAAUUGUAAAUUUUAAUCAUUUUCAUCUAGACAUNNAAUUAAUAACAAUAAGAUCUGCAAAUUCAAUCUGAAACCAGCUGCCAAAGAAGGUAAAAAUUGACACUGUAUAAAGGGAACUCAAUCAGUCGGACAUGGAAGAUUACUCUCAAGUUACCACUCAAUAGGAGUUGCGUCUAGGCCUUUCCUCUCCAACAUUCACUCUGAUUGGUCUCCCAUCCAAUUCCUGCAAUAGUAUCAGAACCACCAUAUUAGAAUUUUAUUCCCUAGAAUGAAACACACAAGCCGUCCUUGUAAUGUUACCACAAAUGAUCAAGUAAUAAAGUACUUGUGUUUUUACCUGACCAUCAAGAGCAAUAAUCGGAUCGUUCACAUCAGCCUCACUGGCCA
rnacentral:lncRNA from 1 species